UGAAUACGAGAUGCUACGGCGUCGAAGCAGUCUAUGUCAUACUUCCAAGAAAAGCUCGCACUGUCAUAAACAAAUAAUGCCUGUACCAUAACCGACACAGGUGGGUAGGUAGAGUAUACUAAGGGGCGCGAGAUAACUCUCUCUAAGGAACUCGGCAAAAUGACUCCGUAACUUCGGGAGAAGGAGUGCCUUAUUUAUAAGGUUGCAACAACAAGAUCCAAGCAACUGUUUAUCAAAAACACAGGUAUCCGCUAAGUCGUAAGACGAUGUAUGGGGGCUGACGCCCCCCAGUGCCAGAAGGUUAAAGAAGUUGGUUAGCAUUCGCGAAGCUGAUAACUGAAGCCCUGGUGAACGGCGGCCGUAACUAUAACGGUCCUAAGGUAGCGAAAUUCCUUGUCGGGUAAGUUCCGACCCGCACGAAAGGCGUAAUGAUUUGGAUACUGUCUCGGAGAGGGGCUCGGUGAAAUAGACUUGUCUGUGAAGACGCGGACUACCUGCACCAGGACAGAAAGACCCUAUGAAGCUUUACUGUAACUUGAGAUUGAAAUUGGACUUUACUUGCGCAGUAUAGGUGGGAGGCGUUGAUAAUAUUCUUGCGGGAUUAUUUGAGCCAUCAGUGAGAUACCACUCUUGUAAUGUUAGAUUUCUAACUUUGUAUCAUUAUCUGGUCAAAGGACAGUUUCAGGCGGGCAGUUUGACUGGGGCGGUCGCCUCCUAAACGGUAACGGAGGCGCACAAAGGUUUCCUCUGAACGGGUAGAAAUCGUAUCUAGAGUGUAAAGGCAUAAGGAAGCUUGACUGUGAGACCUACAAGUCGAGUAGGGACGAAAGUCGGUCUUAGUGAUCUGACGGUGCUGAGUGGAAAGGCCGUCACUCAACGGAUAAAAGUUACUCUAAGGAUAACAGGCUGAUCUCCCCCAAGAGUUCACAUCGACGGGGAGGUUUGGCACCUCGAUGUCGGCUCAUCGCAUCCUGGGGCGGUAGUACGUCCCAAGGGUUGGGCUGUUCGCCCAUGAAAGCGGUACGCGAGCUGGGUUCAGAACGUCGUGAGACAGUUCGGUCCAUAUCCGGUGUAGGCGUUAGAAUAUUGAGAGGAGCCUUCUUUAGUACGAGAGGACCGAGAAGGACAUACCUCUGGUGUACCAGUUAUCGUGCCAACGGUAAACGCUGGGUAGCUAUGUAUGGAGUGGAUAACCGCUGAAAGCAUCUAAGUGGGAAGCCCACCUCAAGAUAAG
rnacentral:rRNA from 1 species